ACUCCUACGGGAGGCAGCAGUAGGAAUUUUCCGCAAUGGACGAAAGUCUGACGGAGCAAUGCCGCGUGAGUGAUGAAGGUUUUCGAAUCGUAAAGCUCUGUUGUAAGGGAAGAAUAGCAAGAAUGAAGAAUGUCUUGUCUGACGGUACCUUACCAGAAAGCCACGGCUAACUACGUGCCAGCAGCCGCGGUAAUACGUAGGUGGCAAGCGUUAUCCGGAAUUAUUGGGCGUAAAGCGCAUGUAGGCGGCUCUUUAAGUCUGAUGUGAAAGCCUGUGGCUCAACCACAGAAUUGCAUUGGAUACUGGAGAGCUAGAAUCUUGGAGAGGUAAGUGGAAUUUCAUGUGUAGCGGUGGAAUGCGUAGAUAUAUGAAGGAACACCAAUGGCGAAGGCAGCUUACUGGACAAGUAUUGACGCUGAGAUGCGAAAGUGUGGUAGCAAACAGGAUUAGAUACCCUGGUAGGCUCUG
rnacentral:rRNA from 1 species